AGUGAACGCUGGCGGCAGGCCUAAUACAUGCAAGUCGAACGGCAGCACAGCAGAGCUUGCUCUGUGGGUGGCGAGUGGCGGACGGGUGAGGAAUACGUGGGAAUCUGCCCAGUCGUGGGGGAUAACGUAGGGAAACUUACGCUAAUACCGCAUGCGCCCUUCGGGGGAAAGCCGGGGACCUUCGGGCCUGGCGCGAUUGGAUGAGCCCACGUCGGAUUAGCUAGUUGGCGGGGUAAAGGCCCACCAAGGCGACGAUCCGUAGCUGGUCUGAGAGGAUGAUCAGCCACACUGGAACUGAGACACGGUCCAGACUCCUACGGGAGGCAGCAGUAGGGAAUAUUGGACAAUGGGCGCAAGCCUGAUCCAGCCAUGCCGCGUGAGUGAAGAAGGCCCUCGGGUUGUAAAGCUCUUUUGUCCGGAAGAAAAGCGCCGGGUUAAUACCC
rnacentral:rRNA from 1 species